AUUGAACGCUGGCGGCAGGCCUAACACAUGCAAGUCGGACGAGCGGCGGAGGGGUGAGUAAUGUAUGGGGAACUGCCUGAUGGAGGGGGAUAACUACUGGAAACGGUAGCUAAUACCGCAUACCAACAGAUGAGCCGAUAUGGGAUUAGCUAGUCGGUUGGGUAACGGCUCACCAAGGCGACGAUCCCUAGCUGGUCUGAGAGGAUGACAAGCCACACGGGGACUGAGACACGGCCCAGACUCCUACGGGAGGCAGCAGUGGGGAAUAUUGGACAAUGGGCGCAAGCCUGAUGCAGCCAUGCCGCGUGUAUGAAGAAGGCCUUCGGGUUGUAAAGUACUUUCAGUCGGGAGGCGUUACCGACAGAAGAAGCACCGGCUAACUCCGUGCCAGCAGCCGCGGUAAUAC
rnacentral:rRNA from 1 species